rnacentral:rRNA from 1 species
ACUCCUACGGGAGGCAGCAGUUAGGAAUCUUGGGCAAUGGGCGAAAGCCUGACCCAGCAACGCCGCGUGGGCGACGAAGCCCUUCGGGUUGUAAACUCCUUUUGCGGGGGACGAUGAUGACGGUACCCCGCGAAUAAGGCUCGGCUAACUCUGUGCCAGCAGCCGCGGCAAUACAGAGGAGCCAAGCGUUGUCCGGAUUGACUGGGCGUAAAGCGCACGCAGGCGGUCGCGCGCGUGGGGUGUGAAAUUUCGGAGCUUAACUCCGAAACUGCAUUCGAUACUGCGGUGCUUGAGGACUGGAGAGGAGACUGGAAUUCAUGGUGUAGCGGUGAAAUGCGUAGAGAUC